rnacentral:lncRNA from 1 species
GGAGGAGGGGACGGGCGGAGGGGAGGGGUCCCCGGCCCGCCCGCUAGGCGGGGACGCGGCGCCGGCUGGUUCCCGGUCCCCCGAGGCCCAGGCGCAGCCGGGGGUGGGGGACACGGAGUCAGGCCUGGCACGCGGCCAGCCCACAAGCUGCUGGAGACCCCCUCAUACAAAUCUUGCCCCCAGUCCAGAGGGUCCUAAUCUGAGAACUCCAAAAUACAGCCUGGAGACAAAUGGUGGGGAGGGUUUCCCCUAAAUUUGGACAUCUCCAGAUUAAGACCUCCGCCGAAUCCGUGAGGCUUUCCCUCUCCAAGGAGCUCCUAAGAGAAUUUCCCAGUAAAAUCGCCUCAACUGCGGUAAAUAGGCUGUUCCCCGCGCCAGCAUUUGAGAAGAGCUGGUCCCCAGAGUGUAAAGGAGUUAGGAUGUUGGCAGGAGGAAGGAUGUGUCGCCGGAUGAGGAAAAGAAAGGUGGGUGUCUGCGGUGCAGUCCUUGGUCUUUCUGGCAAGUGAGGCGCUCUCCCCCUAAAUGUCUCAGAGGGAGACAAAUCAGCGGACUACCUUGCUUCCUUUGAUGACUUGGAAAGGAUCUGCAGUCCCCCUUAAAGCCCAAGAAUGUCUUCUCUUCCACGACAGCCGUUUGUGGACACAUACUGCUUACCUCCCUGACUGCAGGACAAGGUCCUUCAAAGCUGGAACUCUGACUGCGCUCAGUGAUCCCGCAGUGCUCCUCUGUAGAGUGGGAACCCAGGUCCAUUUCAAAUAUCUACGUUGGAAUGAGUGGAUCUCGCUGGGGGUGAGAGGCACUUUGUCUACCCACACUGCCAGUCCCAGCCACAUGCCUCCUCCCUUCCCUCAAAAAGCAGUGUCUUCUUAGUCUGCUUCUUCAAGGGGAGAAGUCGUUUUUAUUUAUGGAAACGAACUCACUAUAUGGUAGAAAGAACAAGAGUAUCAGAAUUUGCACUUUGGACUUGGACUCCCCUCUAAGCAGCUGCACAAGCGGGUCCUCAUCCAAUAACUGUUGUUCUUAUUAGAAUAGGGAAAUUUGGAUGCAGAGACACAGAGAAAAUGCCAUGUGAAGAUGGAUCAGAGACAGAAGUGAUGCGGCUGCAAGCCAAGGAAUGUGAAGAAUGGCCAGCCACCACCGGAAGCUAGGGGAGACGCCAGCACAGAUUCUCCCUGAGAGUAUCCAGAAGAAACCAACCCUCCAACACCUGGAUUUCAGACUUCUGACCUUGAGAAGUGUGAGCCAAUAAAACAACUGCAGUGGAGUCAGUGGUUCUUGUUUUAAGCCACCCAGUUUGUGGUCAUUGGUUAUGGCAGUCCUAAGAAACUCAAACUCACCUCAGCACAGUGGGGAGGUGAGAAGGACAAAGACGGGGGUCCCUAUUUU